rnacentral:rRNA from 1 species
CGGCGAGCGAAAAGGGAAGAGCCCAGCGCCGAAUCCCCGGCCUCCGGUCGCGGGAAAUGUGGCGUUCAGGAGUGAGCGUGUCGGUUCCGGAACCCGCGGCAAGUCCCCCUGACCGGGGCCUGUCCGUAGCGGGUGCGAGRCCCAUAGCCGCGGGGUCCGGUCCGAAUGCGAUCUCCUUGGAGUCGGGUUGCUUGGGAGUGCAGCCCCAAUCGGGUGGUAAACUCCACCUAAGGCUAAAUACCGCCGUGAGACCGAUAGCAAACAAGUACCGUGAGGGAAAGUUGCAAAGAACUUUGAAGAGAGAGUUCAAGAGUACGUGAAACUGCUCARAGGUAAACGGGUGGGCCCUCGAAAUCCUGUGGCGAGAGGAUUCAGUCUGUUGCGGACGACGCCGGGGAGGAAGUCAUUUGKAGGGYCUCCGCGUCACGCGGGCCGUCUUCCYYGGCGCCCUCGGCCGCCUCAGACGCAUUUGUCUCUCGUCCCGAGGACGCUGCAGCCGGUUCGGAAGUGCAAGCGCGACGGCCUGAGGGCCGGGAGCCGGCAGGUGGCCGGUGGCUCGCCUCKUGCGGGUCGCCGGUUGUUAGCCAUCCCGGCAGUGGCCCGUCUCCGGACCGUGGUGUCGCGAGUCCCCUUWCGGGGAUUCUUCGUCUCCUACCCUAGSUGGACAGGACCCGGAAAGGGCGCGCGGCGUAGGACGUUUCGCACUCCGUCGGAGUGGUCGAACGCGCUGCGUGCCCUGCCCGCCGGGGCGGAUCUGCGGUGGGACUGGAGGCUAGCARCGAGUAGGUCGGUCACCCACCCGACCCGUCUUGAAACACGGACCAAGGAGUCUAACAUGUGCGCGAGUCAGUGGGUCUUG